UACGAAGGGGGCUAGCGUUGUUCGGAUUUACUGGGCGUAAAGCGCACGUAGGCGGAUCUUUAAGUCAGAGGUGAAAUCCCAAGGCUCAACCUUGGAACUGCCUUUGAUACUGGGGAUCUUGAGUCCGGGAGAGGUGAGUGGAACUGCGAGUGUAGAGGUGAAAUUCGUAGAUAUUCGCAAGAACACCAGUGGCGAAGGCGGCUCACUGGCCCCGGUACUGACGCUGAGGUGCGAAAGCGUGGGGAGCAAACAGG
rnacentral:rRNA from 1 species